GCCAUCAGCAGAGGAAGGGAAGGUGGCAAGGACAGAGCUAUCAGGAAGCAUUUAUUUAACAUUAACCUGCUCAGUGAUACCCAGCUUGGGUUUUGUCAAGGCUCCAGGUUUCAGAAGUGGAUCAACAAGCUGAACAACAGGGGGAAAAUUGAGGAUUCCUUUCUCAACAAGUUAACAGCUGACCAGGAAUUACAAGAAAAAAAGAAUUACAAUAGAAUUUAUACAAAACAACAAUAUAUAACAUGCAAAGGCUGAUAAACAACCAAUGUGCAAAAGAAGCCAUUCUGUGUCUCCCUUGAAGAGAACAUUAAUGCGUUCUGACAGGGUCAGAGUCAGAUGGAGCCACUUGAGGAUAAUAUCAUCACUGUCACAAUCAAUCAAGUUAUUCAGUGAACAUCUCCUCAGCCACUUACAAUACUUCUGUCUCUUUAUCUGCUGUUUUGAAGGAGGGGGAGCUCUACCCGUGUGCAGCCAAUUACAUCUGCGUUUUAGUUCAGCUAAUAAUGCCCCCACUCCAAAGAGAAACCCUUGAAUUAUUUCCCUUGUGUUUUGAGAAUGUAAUCAUAGCAACUUGCUUGAUUAAGCAAUGAAAUUGCACAUUGGAGAUUGUCUGACGUCUUCCAGAGAACCAGAAAGACUCGACACAGAAAGGUUGGAUGCACUCAUUGUUCAAGGACAAUAGUCACGAUAAAUUUACAUUUAUCUCAUUCUAUCUGUGUAAGCUUCCAUCUAAGAUGCAGAUAUAUUUUGCUUGAUUAAAGGAAAUCUUUGCCU